CAGUCACCUGCUUUUGCCACAUCCCAGCCUCCCUCCAUCCCCAGGGCUGCUAUCUGGAGCCUCCUCCCUGCCCCUCUGCUAUCCCAGCCCCCAAAGGGGCACUGCAUGGCUAGCUGGAUCAUAGUCCAAUAGCUUUAUCUCCUGGCUCUGAGCCCAGAAGUACCCAUACACUCUCGCACACUCACACCAUCCUUUCCUGCCCAGAUCCCAGCCCAUCCCCAUUCCUCUCUUCCCUGCCCCUAUCUCUGCUACAUGGCUCAAUUGGGGGUGCAGAGGGACUUUCAGGGAGGCAAGUGAUGAUGCCAGGUAGCUCUGGCCAGCCCUGUGCAUCUGGUUUUCAGUUUCGGGAAAUAUGGACACUCUAUCUAGUGUACUCUCGUGUGUGCUGCACCUACUCCAACAUUAGCUGCACCUUUCAAAUAAUAUUAAUAAUGAAGAGAAGAAAAGGGGAGACAGAAAAGGGAGCUGUAGUGCUAAGGGGAAGAGAGGAAGGAAAGAAGAUAGUCAAAAAGGCAGCCAAAGAGAAUCAUACGUAUUUAUAGGGCUGCUAUCGCCAUGUUAUCUAAGCACCAAGAAAGGAAACUGUGAGGAGAAGCACAGACUGAAGAGGAGAUGAGGCACAGACAUGGGAGGAAGAUAGAACAGGGGAUAAUCACUGCAGCUGAGACCUCAGUCUGCUCUGAAUACAGCAAGGAGCAAAAAACACCCCAGAAAUGAAUGUGUGCCCGGGGACUAGCAGCCACAGUUUCCAAAGUGACCACAGAUUUUGGGUGCCACAUCUUUGUGUCCCCAACAUGAGCCACCCAAAAUCAAUGUCCACUUUUGAACCUUUUGUCCUAGAGCUCUGAACAGCGGAGGUCCAUGGGGACAGUUGUGCACAGUUCUAGCCCCUCUGCAAUCACAAUCUGCUGUUGCCCCUCAUACAGCAACAAGCAGGUGUAGCCCAUAUCCAUAGCCAGAAAUCUCACCCCAGCAGAGCUUGGGAAUCCUUGAGUCCAAGGGCCUCAAGUGUCAGGGAGAGAAGGCAAAGUGGAGAUGGGAAGAAGAGAUUGGUGUACAUUAGGAGGAAUGCUUUCAAUGGGCAGGUUUUGGUAAGGGGUUAUUUCAGAAUUGUGUGUUACGGUCCCAACCUAAAUUUGUGCUUAGGGGCCUAUAUGAAUCUUGAUACACCUCUGAACUUCUUAAAUACCAUGGAGCAGCUAGGGUCCUCAGUCCAAUUAAAUAUUUCCAUUAAUAAAUAUUUCUAUUAUGUUUUGCCCCAACCAGGGCUUAUGCCAUGGGGAAUGGAAUCACUAUUGGAAAUUGAUUGUUAUUCUCAUUUAUAUUACCCCAUCCAGAUGACUGGUGUUUUCCGAACAUAUGCAAAGAAAAGGUCCUUGCCUGAGGGGCUUUGUGGCGGAGUGUGCAUAGCCCUCACUGGACAAAGGAGUUAAUGCCCUGCAGGGCAAGCCAGGAAAUGGGCCUGUAGGACUUGUGUUACCUGCCAUUUGGGGCAAGGAAGAUUUGGCUUAGGGCUAAGAGGGUGAGUAUUUGAACAGGAAGUGGAGGAGGGUUUCAGUGGUAAAGGCUUUCUUUCCUCUGUUCCCAGCUUAUGGUGGAGCAGAUUUGAGAGACAACUAGAACCAGGAAACCCUGAGGAAUGAACUGUCUCUUGACUGACUGGAGCCAGCCGGCUUCCUGGCCAGCACCAGGGUGAGAGUAGCAAAGGAGCUCAAGCCAGAAGGAAAUGAGUUCUGGAUGGAUUUAAAGGAAGGAAUCCUCCCAACCUGAUCCUUCAGAAUAAAAUCCACCCCCAAGAUGGGCAUCCCAUGUCGGCAAUAAAAAUGCUUUCUUGAUAGGAGUGGGCUGAGAUUUUUUUUUAAUCUUCUCUAUAAGUCACCAAAAGACUUUGGAAUUGGUUCAGAAAUGUCUAGAUAUUAAUUCCCUAAGGAGCACAAGACUCAUAUUAUUCCUGACUACAAACUGCUGCACAGAUUUGCACCAACAGAUGGCUGACGACGGAGCUAUGAAGAGUCAAAGACAGGGAUUCAGCACAGGAUAAUGGGAAGACUCUUCAACUCCCACAUAUUUUCCUCCAGGAGGAGGGUAAAGCAAAUCCUUAUUGGAGCCCUGAUAACCCCCAGCCUCACCUGAUGCCCCAUUUCAUCUCUAUUGUUCUUACAGCUGCAAGUGUCACAACCAAUCACUGCCUCUCUUGGGGAGCAUGGAUCAGCAUUCAUGUCCCGCUUCCUGUCAGUACCCAGCCCGGGCAAGCUAAUGAUCCAACCAGCAGACCAAAUUCAGUGAUGAAUCCUGGUCACGUGCCACCUGAGGCACAUGGCACAUAUACUAAGAAGACUGCCUUUCCUUCUGCAUCAGGAGCAGUCACUCUAAGUGGCAUGAGCUACUUUCUCCCUGCAUUCU